rnacentral:rRNA from 1 species
CCUACGGGUGGCAGCAGUGGGGGAUAUUGCACAAUGGGGGGAACCCUGAUGCAGCGACGCCGCGUGGGUGAAGGAGUAUUUCGGUAUGUAAAGCCCUAUCGGCAGGGAAGAAGCAAGACGGUACCUGACUAAGAAGCCCCGGCUAACUACGUGCCAGCAGCCGCGGUAAUACGUAGGGGGCGAGCGUUAUCCGGAUUCACUGGGUGGAAAGGGAGCGUAGACGGCCAUGCAAGCCAGGGGUGAAAGCCCGGGGCCCAACCCCGGGACUGCCCUUGGAAAUGCAUGGCUGGAGUGCGGGAGGGGCAGGCGGAAUUCCUGGUGUAGCGGUGAAAUGCGUAGAUAUCAGGAGGAACACCAGUGGCGAAGGCGGCUUACUGGACUGUAACUGACGUUGAGGCUCGAAAGCGUGGGGAGCAAACAGGAUUAGAUACCCCUGUAGUC